rnacentral:pre_miRNA from 1 species
CAAGUAUUCCCUCCAUCCGGAAUUACUUGUCAUCAAAAUGGAUGUGUCUAGAACUAAAAUACAUCUAGAUACAUCCAUUUCAAUGACAAGUAUUUUCGGACGGAGGGAGUACAAG